AACGAACGCUGGCGGCAGGCUUAACACAUGCAAGUCGAACGGGUGUAGCAAUACAUCAGUGGCAGACGGGUGAGUAACACGUGGGAACCUUCCUAGGGGUACGGAACAACUCAGGGAAACUUGAGCUAAUACCGUAUACGUCCGUGAGGAGAAAGAUUUAUCGCCCUUAGACGGGCCCGCGUCGGAUUAGGUAGUUGGUGGGGUAACGGCCUACCAAGCCUACGAUCCGUAGCUGAUCUUAGAGGAUGAUCAGCCACACUGGGACUGAGACACGGCCCAGACUCCUACGGGAGGCAGCAGUGGGGAAUCUUGGACAAUGGGCGCAAGCCUGAUCCAGCCAUGCCGCGUGAGUGAAGAAGGCCUUAGGGUUGUAAAGCUCUUUUACCAGGGACGAUAAUGACGGUACCU
rnacentral:rRNA from 1 species